rnacentral:tRNA from 1 species
AGGCACGUCGCUCAGUUGGUUAGAGCACCACCUUGACAUGGUGGGGGUCGUUGGUUCGAGUCCAAUCGCGCCUACCA